GACGAACGCUGGCGGCGUGCUUAACACAUGCAAGUCGAACGGAAAGGCCCUGCUUUUGUGGGGUGCUCGAGUGGCGAACGGGUGAGUAACCCGUGAGUAACCUGCCCCUGACUUUGGGAUAACUUCAGGAAACUGGGGCUAAUACCGGCUAGGAGCUCCUGCUGCAUGGUGGGGGUUGGAUAGUUUCGGCGGUUGGGGAUGGACUCGCGGCUUAUCGGCUUGUUGGUGGGGUAGUGGCUUACCAAGGCUUUGACGGGUAGCCGGCCUGAGAGGGUGACCGGCCACAUUGGGACUGAGAUACGGCCCAGACUCGUACGGGAGGCAGCAGUGGGGAAGAUUGCACAAUGGGCGGAAGCCUGAUGCAGCAACGCCGCGUGGGGGAAGACGGCCUUCGGGUUGGAAACCGCUUUCGCCUGUGACGAAGCGUGAGUGACGGUAAUGGGUAAAGAAGCACCGGCUAACUACGUG
rnacentral:rRNA from 1 species